GCCUUCGUGGUGUAGUGGUCAACACACUCGGCGUGUAUUCGAGAGGUUCGAAUCCGUGAUUCGGAUGUUGCUCGCCGGGAUUCGAAUUCCGUGGUUCGAAUCCCGGCGAGGGCA
rnacentral:tRNA from 1 species